rnacentral:lncRNA from 1 species
GUCUCCUGUCAGAGUGGACAGCGGCUGUCUCAGUAGGAGACCGAAACCAUGGACGUGCAACUUGAAGGUGAGGCUGGAGACAUGGGUCAGGCUGCGGCAAAAGACCUUUGUGGCACACAGGAGCACAGUUCAGAGCCAACACUGGACGGGACCAAGGGGGACCACACAGAAUGUUCUUCACAAGAGGCCACAAGUGCAGAUGUGAUGGAUCAAGGGAGCUAUGAUUUCACUUUGGUUGGUGGUGUCUAUCUCAACGAGGACCCCCAUCUUCUUCCUCACAGUGCAUCGAAAUGCACUCAAGCCCCAGAAACUCCUACUUGUGAGAAUUCUGCACCCAUUUUCAAGGACGGCAUCACUCUCUCUAAGGCAUCAGUCAAUGGAGCCCAGCCCGUCUGCUCCCCUCCAACUUUCACGGCCGGCCAUCCCAGGUGGUCUUCUCCGCAGUCUUCCAGGAACAACGGACAAGGACAACAUCUGCCGCCCACCUCUACUGCCAACAGCCAGCACAGCCUCAAAACCACUGCGGCCCAGAUUCAGCAGGUGGCUGGGGACGGUAAGAAUGGGCUCUGGGUGUAAAUAUGAAAUAACAUACGCAUCAUUCCAGCAGGACAGAGUGCUUACACAAACCCCAUAAACCAUAAAAAGUUGUUUAUGC